ensembl:miRNA aca-mir-181a-3 aca-mir-181a-3
UAAAAGGUCUUGGGAAACAUUCAACGCUGUCGGUGAGUUUUGUCAAUGAAGUCAAACCAUCGACUGUUGAGUGUACCCUGCGGCUUUUACAAA